rnacentral:tRNA from 1 species
UGGGGUGUAGUUCAGUGACAGACCACUUGCCUAGCAGGCUUAAGGCCUGGGUUCAAUUCCUAGCACCACAA